rnacentral:rRNA from 1 species
CCCCUGCUCUGAACAUACACACAUAUAGUUAGCCUCGAGCGGAUCUACCCCCGCUCCCAGAGAUAAAACGGGACGGCCCGCCAGAGGACCCCUAAACUCUGUUUCUAUAUAGUAACUUCUGAGUAAAACCAUAAAUAAAUCAAAACUUUCAACAACGGAUCUCUUGGUUCUGGCAUCAAUGAAGAACGCAGCAAAAUGCGAUAAGUAAUGUGAAUUGCAGAAUUCAGUGAAUCAUCAAAUCUUUGAACGCACAUUGCGCCCAACAAAAUUAUGACGAGGAUGCCUGUUUGCGGCCUACAUCAAACCUUGCGGCCUACAUCAAACCUCAAGCACAGCUUGGUGUUGGGACUCGCGUUAAUUCGCGUUCCUCAAAUUGAUUGGCGGUCACGUCGAGCUUCCAUAGCGUAGUAGUAAAACCCUCGUUACUGGUAAUCGUCGCGGCCACGCCGUUAAACCCCAACUUCUGAAUGUGACCUCGGAUCAGGUAUCAGAACCCAAGAGUGAGUAAUUUAAUG